rnacentral:piRNA from 1 species
UGCUCAGGCAAGCAAGUCCACCACAAUUAU